rnacentral:rRNA from 1 species
UACGGGGGGGGUAAGGCGUUGUUCGGAAUUACUGGGCGUAAAGGGCUCGUAGGCGGCCAACUAAGUCAGACGUGAAAUCCCUCAGCUUAACUGGGGAACUGCGUCUGAUACUGGAUGGCUUGGAUUCGGGAGAGGAAUGCGGAAUUCCAGGUGUAGCGGUGAAAUGCGUAGAUAUCUGGAGGAACACCGGUGGCGAAGGCGGCAUUCUGGACCGACAUUGACGCUGAGGAGCGAAAGCCAGGGGAGCAAAGCGGG